rnacentral:tRNA from 1 species
AUUCAAAUAGUUUAAUUAAAAUGUCAGAUUGUGGAGCUGAAGAUAUAAAUUCUUAUUUUGGAUA